UACGGGGGGGGCAAGCGUUGUUCGGAAUUACUGGGCGUAAAGGGCUCGUAGGUGGCCAACUAAGUCAGACGUGAAAUCCCUCAGCUUAACUGGGGAACUGCGUCUGAUACUGGAUGGCUUGAGUUUGGGAGAGGGAUGCGGAAUUCCAGGUGUAGCGGUGAAAUGCGUAGAGAUGUGGAGGAACACCAGUGGCGAAGGCGACUCUUUGGCCUGUAACUGACACUGAGGCGCGAAAGCGUGGGGAGCAAACAGG
rnacentral:rRNA from 1 species